rnacentral:rRNA from 1 species
CCUACGGGUGGCUGCAGUGGGGAAUAUUGGACAAUGGGCGAAAGCCUGAUCCAGCCAUGCCGCGUGUGUGAAGAAGGCCUUCGGGUUGUAAAGCACUUUCAGUGGGGAAGAAAGCCUUGGGGCUAAUACCCUCGAGGAAGGACAUCACCCACAGAAGAAGCACCGGCUAACUCCGUGCCAGCAGCCGCGGUAAUACGGAGGGUGCGAGCGUUAAUCGGAAUUACUGGGCGUAAAGCGCGCGUAGGCGGUCUGAUAAGCCGGUUGUGAAAGCCCCGGGCUCAACCUGGGAACGGCAUCCGGAACUGUCAGGCUAGAGUGCAGGAGAGGAAGGUAGAAUUCCCGGUGUAGCGGUGAAAUGCGUAGAGAUCGGGAGGAAUACCAGUGGCGAAGGCGGCCUUCUGGACUGACACUGACGCUGAGGUGCGAAAGCGUGUGUAGCAAACAGGAUUAGAUACCCGGGUAGUC